UACGUAGGGGGCGAGCGUUGUCCGAAGUUACUGGGCGUAAAGAGCGCGUAGGCGGGUUUUUAAGUGAGGGGUGAAAUUCCGAGGCUCAACCUCGGAACUGCCUUUCAUACUGGGAACCUUGAGUGCGGGAGAGGCGAGUGGAAUGGUCGGUGUAGCGGUGAAAUGCGCAGAUAUCAGGAGGAACACCAAUUGCGAAGGCAGCUCGCUGGGACGUUACUGACGCUGAGACGCGAAAGCGUGGGGAGCAAACAGG
rnacentral:rRNA from 1 species